UUCAUUUUCGGCAAAUUUCUAAAACAUAAAUCGACUUCCCUUCUUUAUCAAACUUUCAAAGAUUCUUCCUUGAUAUUUUUCAUAUUCACAACAUUACCAAUAAUCUUUUAUAACAUACCAUAUUGAUCAAUUUAUUCGAAUAACCUACGAAGCGGCGGGUUCAAGAGGUUAUGGUCUCAAUGCCAGCGCACCACGACCUUAAGCCGGUAUCGCAUUGCGCCGAUUCUUUCCACAUCGUUCGAAUUACACGUACGGUAGGUAAGAGUAGAGACACGAGGAGAGGAGAUGGGCGGGUGUAAGUGCAUGCACCCAACCGACUCUUCGCGAGAUUCUAGGGAAGAUACACGGGGUCAUGGGUGGCCGGUGAAAAUGUCACGCUAGUUGAUACAGACUUUGAACGUUCCUGUAACCACGGCCGCGUUCGAUCACCUUUCAAACGAUCCUCGAACAAGUCGAUUUCAAGUACGAGAUGCUUUCAAGGAACAAACUGUGGAGAAUACUGUGUUUCGUGUCGCCAAUGAAAAACGUUUCUGAAACUGGUAAACUUGCACCGCUUGGUUAAGAAAAAGUAUGCCAGUCAUAAAGAUAAAAGACAUAUACGCGACCUAAUUUUGAGAUCGUGAGGUCGUCUAACAAAUUUGUUGAAAGUUCCUUCGUAUCUUGAUACAGAAUGUCUCUACGUUUGACGAAAUCCACUUAUAUAUUCCACGUCUGUAUAUAAUUCGUGCGUGAACACUUAUGAGUCACGCAAUUACUCAGCAUUCGUAAGAAUCGAAUGAAAUGUCGUACGAUUCUCGAUAUUAUUACGAAUUU